AGCAGCAGCCGCGGUAAUACGUAGGUGGCAAGCGUUGUCCGGAAUUAUUGGGCGUAAAGCGCGCGCAGGCGGUUUCUUAAGUCUGAUGUGAAAGCCCCCGGCUCAACCGGGGAGGGUCAUUGGAAACUGGGAAACUUGAGUGCAGAAGAGGAGAGUGGAAUUCCACGUGUAGCGGUGAAAUGCGUAGAGAUGUGGAGGAACACCAGUGGCGAAGGCGACUCUCUGGUCUGUAACUGACGCUGAGGCGCGAAAGCGUGGGGAGCGAACAGGAUUAGAUACCCUGGUAGUCCACGCCGUAAACGAUGAGUGCUAAGUGUUAGAGGGUUUCCGCCCUUUAGUGCUGCAGCUAACGCAUUAAGCACUCCGCCUGGGGAGUACGGUCGCAAGACUGAAACUCAAAGGAAUUGACGGA
rnacentral:rRNA from 2 species